GACGAACGCUGGCGGCGUGCCUAAUACAUGCAAGUCGAGCGGACCGACGGGAGCUUGCUCCCUUAGGUCAGCGGCGGACGGGUGAGUAACACGUGGGUAACCUGCCUGUAAGACUGGGAUAACUCCGGGAAACCGGGGCUAAUACCGGAUGCUUGAUUGAACCGCAUGGUUCCAAUCAUAAAAGGUGGCUUUUAGCUACCACUUACAGAUGGACCCGCGGCGCAUUAGCUAGUUGGUGAGGUAACGGCUCACCAAGGCGACGAUGCGUAGCCGACCUGAGAGGGUGAUCGGCCACACUGGGACUGAGACACGGCCCAGACUCCUACGGGAGGCAGCAGUAGGGAAUCUUCCGCAAUGGACGAAAGUCUGACGGAGCAACGCCGCGUGAGUGAUGAAGGUUUUCGGAUCGUAAAACUCUGUUGUUAGGGAAGAACAAGUACCGUUCGAAUAGGGCGGUACCUUGACGGUACCUAACCAGAAAGCCACGGCUAACUACGUGCCAGCAGCCGCGGUAAUACGUAGGUGGCAAGCGUUGUCCGGAAUUAUUGGGCGUAAAGCGCGCGCAGGCGGUUUCUUAAGUCUGAUGUGAAAGCCCCCGGCUCAACCGGGGAGGGUCAUUGGAAACUGGGGAACUUGAGUGCAGAAGAGGAGAGUGGAAUUCCACGUGUAGCGGUGAAAUGCGUAGAGAUGUGGAGGAACACCAGUGGCGAAGGCGACUCUCUGGUCUGUAACUGACGCUGAGGCGCGAAAGCGUGGGGAGCGAACAGGAUUAGAUACCCUGGUAGUCCACGCCGUAAACGAUGAGUGCUAAGUGUUAGAGGGUUUCCGUCCUUUAGUGCUGCAGCAAACGCAUUAAGCACUCCGCCUGGGGAGUACGGUCGCAAGACUGAAACUCAAAGGAAUUGACGGGGGCCCGCACAAGCGGUGGAGCAUGGGGUUUAAUUCGAAGCAACGCGAAGAACCUUACCAGGUCUUGACAUCCUCUGACAACCCUAGAGAUAGGGCUUCCCCUUCGGGGGCAGAGUGACAGGUGGUGCAUGGUUGUCGUCAGCUCGUGUCGUGAGAUGUUGGGUUAAGUCCCGCAACGAGCGCAACCCUUGAUCUUAGUUGCCAGCAUUCAGUUGGGCACUCUAAGGUGACUGCCGGUGACAAACCGGAGGAAGGUGGGGAUGACGUCAAAUCAUCAUGCCCCUUAUGACCUGGGCUACACACGUGCUACAAUGGGCAGAACAAAGGGCAGCGAAGCCGCGAGGCUAAGCCAAUCCCACAAAUCUGUUCUCAGUUCGGAUCGCAGUCUGCAACUCGACUGCGUGAAGCUGGAAUCGCUAGUAAUCGCGGAUCAGCAUGCCGCGGUGAAUACGUUCCCGGGCCUUGUACACACCGCCCGUCACACCACGAGAGUUUGUAACACCCGAAGUCGGUGAGGUAACCUUUUGGAGCCAGCCGCCGAAGGUGGGACAGAUGAUUGGGGUGAAG
rnacentral:rRNA from 1 species